rnacentral:tRNA from 1 species
CUAUUGGGCCCAUACCCCAAAAAUGAAGGUCUUCCCCUCCGCUCCUAC